UAUAAUAUCUUAUCCGCGUUACGCGCGGUUAAAAAAUCUAGUUAUUAUAAAGUAUACUAUUCUCUUCUUUUCCUUGCGCCACCUCAUCAAAUAAGGAAUCAUGAGGUUGACACGUGUCCAGUCAUAAGUAAGUUUCGUUGCUUUUCAUUUCCGUUUGUAUUGAUGAUGGGCUUUCACGAGUGUGUAAUGUUUGGGCUUAAAAUUAUGUUAUUUGGAUCGAAAAAUAAACUAAAGUUUACCGAUUAUUACCUUUGCCUUCCUCAAGAAUAGCGACCCUUGAAUUCGAAGGUUCUUCGUUUUCUUCGAGUUCAGAUUAGGUCAAGCUUCAAUAGAGUUUCUGAAAGGUAGUGUGAGACGAAUCGUUUUGAGAAAUCCCUGGGUUGAACUCUAUUCGUGUCGCUUCGUCUAAAAUUAUUCUCCUCUGAAACGUUAUGGAAUUUAUUGAUUAUAGAUCAGCUUCACUUAAAGGUUUUAUAGCCAUACACAAAAGAUUUCUCAAUUCUAAUCCACUCCCAGAGAUGAUGAAAAAAAAAACGAUCCAGAAGGGAACUGCAAAUACGUUUGCCCGAUUAGCUAUUAUCUGAACAUGUUUCAGGUUUACAAUUGACUCCAGAAGUUUACUGGAGAGAUUUGUCUCAGGGAUACAUUCAGCCACAAGAUUUGCCAACACCGGAAAGAUCUAACAAGUCUCUGAUUUUAUUUCAUUAGGGAUCAAACCUGUGAAAUUCCUAGAUAUUAAAAGUGACUGAAGUUAUAGAAUUUAGCUUUUAGGAUGUAUCGUCUGUAACAGAGCUUGAAAGUCUAUGAAUUGGAGUUGUAUCUCUGAGAAUUGGCCUCAAUUGCAUCUUCCCCAUUUUCAAGUAUUUGUAUCGACGAGGUUCCAGAAAGCUAACGCUUCUCAGGAGAUGUUUACCUGAGGUUUCCAUGAGAGGAGAGUUUAAAUUUCCUUAUGUAUAUGAAGAAACGUGGGAUGAAAAGAAACAGAGAAGGAGGAGGAGUCUUAAACCUUACAAGCACAACUACAGUUGCAAUGAACAAGGUAAUGAUCACACUUUGCUUCAUUUACUACGUUGAUGGUCCUUAAACAUCUUUUUGAUCAUCUUGCGCUGUCUUCACAUUUUUCAUCUAAUGUCACCCACAAAACAAGCUAAUCUGCUAAGUGAUCAAGGAUUAACAAAAGUUGUAUGCACAGCUGGACAGUAAACAGAAUGUGUACUCAUUCCUAACUUCAUAAUACUCUAAAAUCAUGAGAGGAUUGGUUGUGUCGUGUGUGUUGUGUGUUUAUAGAUAGAGAUGAUGUCAUAGGCAAUUGAUGAAACAUUUGACAAAGAAGAAGUUUGAAAAACUACAGAUCUAGCUAAUCAGGUGGUCGAUGAGAUUACAGUUCACACGUUGGCUUUUCUUAAGUAGUCAAGUUAAAAUUUGUCAAGACAAUAUUACAAAUGGUUUAAAACUAACUUUACCUGCUUCUUUCUCAACAGGUAUGUAUCUUCAUCUCUAAAACGCAGGAUGGCUACAAAAAAAUGACGUUCCCACUACAGUCAAUAAAAAGAGGCACAUCUUGGAAUUUACUGAAGUGGAUGAUCUAGAGAAGAGAUUGACUUAGCUUUGAUGAAUUUGAGAGAUUAACCUUCUUAUUUGUAGGUAUCACUCAUCAUGCAUCAAAUGAAAGAAGCUCCCUUAAUUAUUUUGAAAGUUGUGUUCUGUCAAAGUGUAAACAAAAUAUAUUUUAGAUUUUUUUUGUCUCGAUUCUAAGAUUUUUUUCGGCUGAUAUAAAAGUAUAUUAUAUAAUUUAUGUAUUUUUUAUAGGUAUUGUAAUUUUCCUAAUGAAAAACAAAGUAUUCAUAUUU